GAACGUAUGGUUUAAUGGUCAGAGUACUUGGACGGUUUACAAGAGGCAUAGGUUCAAAUCCUGCUACGUUCA
rnacentral:tRNA from 1 species